GGAGACAACUCCAGCCUCUAGGGGGAGCGGAGAUGGCUCAACCAGUAAAGGCUUCCAAUCCCAAAUAAGAUUCCUAAAAUCUUUGAUUUAGCCACUAGGAACCCUAUUCCAAACCAGACGGGGUUCCGGAUUCUCUAGAAGCCCUCCAGGCGGAAGCAUUUAUUCGUCUUCUAUGUUAAGCAUUUAAAUGCAACUUUUGCCAGGAUGUAAGCACAGAAGAAAAACAAUGUUGUUUUACAGCAGCUUGAGGACAUUUAUGUUAUUUUCGGGUAAACUGAAGCACCUCGUCAUUAUUUUAUAAAGCUUCCUUUUACCUCCCCACCCCUGUGUUCAUAAAACAUCAACUAAAGUGAAAUUGGACUGCCCAUAAGAGGAACACAGAUGAAGAGAAUCAGAGAAUAAGAAAAAGUAUUCCCAGGACAAAGCUGUACAUUCUAGCAUAAAAUAGAGGGGAAAAGAAAUAACUAAAAUAAGGAAUAAAUCCAGAAGCAGGGGAAGAUUCCAUAGGUUUACACAGAAAGAAAAUCAAAGCUCAAGACAAUGGAAUAGACAAGAUGGAAAUGGUUGUUCCAGUGUCUGACACCAGCAGCUUCAUGUUCCACAGAGAAUUUCAUGUCUGCUUUAGAUGUUUAUCUAUAAAGUUAAUGACUAGCCAUGGUGGUGUGAAUGUGGCUUGUCCUUAAAGGUUCCUGUGCUGGUUCAUGUGUUUGAUGGGCUGUAUUAAGAUGAGCUGCUUACUUUAAAAGCUGAAUUCCAGUUGGAGAUACUAAGUCAAUCAGAAAUCACUCCAAAACAGUUACUGCUGGUCUUGUGGACUUAGUUCCCAGAACAACAAGCUACUACAAAAUAGCAACUCUUCACCCUUAAACUAUAACUUGUGGUCUUUCCAUAUUUGAUCCAGGUACUUUGAUGCAAAGAAUCCUCACCAGACCUUAGUAAAGCCUAGCACCAUGAUCUUGAAGCCCUUAAGAAUUAAUCAAAUCUGACAGGAUCCGAACUCAGCCGGCAGGCUCCAGCACACCCAGAGACUGCCAAGGCCCCGUUAACAGCCCUACCACCAUCCACCUGCCCAGGAGAAGAGGACAGACAUUAGAGUAUUGAAACUGUUUGCAUCUACCAUAAGGGGACCUUGCACCCAUAAACACCAAGAGAGGAAGAGACUCUUGCUAUACCCACCAGAAGAAAGGAUAGGAAGAAGACAAUAUCAAAGCACAUUCAACAACAAAAAAACCAAUAUGACAACACCAGAGACUAGGGACCAUACACCAG